rnacentral:rRNA from 1 species
CCCUGGUGGCGAGUGGCGAACGGGUGAGUAAUACAUCGGAACGUGUCCUGUAGUGGGGGAUAGCCCGGCGAAAGCCGGAUUAAUACCGCAUACGCUCUACGGAGGAAAGGGGGGGAUCUUAGGACCUCCCGCUACAGGGGCGGCCGAUGGCAGAUUAGCUAGUUGGUGGGGUAAAGGCCUACCAAGGCGACGAUCUGUAGCUGGUCUGAGAGGACGACCAGCCACACUGGGACUGAGACACGGCCCAGACUCCUACGGGAGGCAGCAGUGGGGAAUUUUGGACAAUGGGCGAAAGCCUGAUCCAGCAAUGCCGCGUGUGUGAAGAAGGCCUUCGGGUUGUAAAGCACUUUUGUCCGGAAAGAAAACCUCCGCCCUAAUAUGGUGGGGGGAUGACGGUACCGGAAGAAUAAGCACCGGCUAACUACGUGCCAGCAGCCGCGGUAAUACGUAGGGUGCAAGCGUUAAUCGGAAUUACUGGGCGUAAAGCGUGCGCAGGCGGUCCGCUAAGACAGAUGUGAAAUCCCCGGGCUUAACCUGGGAACUGCAUUUGUGACUGGCGGGCUAGAGUAUGGCAGAGGGGGGUAGAAUUCCACGUGUAGCAGUGAAAUGCGUAGAGAUGUGGAGGAAUACCGAUGGCGAAGGCAGCCCCCUGGGCCAAUACUGACGCUCAUGCACGAAAGCGUGGGGAGCAAACAGGAUUAGAUACCCUGGUAGUCCACGCCCUAAACGAUGUCAACUAGUUGUUGGGGAUUCAUUUCCUUAGUAACGUAGCUAACGCGUGAAGUUGACCGCCUGGGGAGUACGGUCGCAAGAUUAAAACUCAAAGGAAUUGACGGGGACCCGCACAAGCGGUGGAUGAUGUGGAUUAAUUCGAUGCAACGCGAAAAACCUUACCUACCCUUGACAUGUAUGGAAUCCUGCUGAGAGGUGGGAGUGCCCGAAAGGGAGCCAUAACACAGGUGCUGCAUGGCUGUCGUCAGCUC